UGGGCCGUCUAGGUCUCUAAUCUAAAGGUGGGGAAGGGGGGAGGGCUUAGUAUUUAAGUGUCCGAGUUCCUUGCCUCCCCCUAUUCGUCUCCUCCGUUUCCUUUUAAAGAACACCCACCAGAAACCCUAUCCGCCCUCCUUUUCCACCACCCAAAGCCAUGGCGGCGGUGACUCCGCUCCCCACCAAAAUAACACCACAGAGUCUCCUCACCCUCCUCUCUUCAAAUCCAUAAACCUUUUUCCUCAAAUCCUCGUCGAAAUUCUCGAAUCUUAAAUUAAAGGUUUCGUCAAAACCCUAAAUCGACUAAUCCUCAUCACAUCAAUAUCACCUGGCCUCCUCACUCUCCUCAUGAAGAAUCCACCGCCAGUGACGUUCAAAUAUCACUGGAGCUGUUGCAGUUUUUAAAUCUAUAAGGCAACGGAACCCUAGAGUCGUAAUAGUAAGUCUUUUACAAUUUGUUUCUAUUUUCUUCUUCGUUCAUGUGGUUGAAUUCUACGAUUGUUUCUGCGAGUCUGUUUUCAAUUUCAUCAUUAUCUUAGGUAUAGGUUUUAUUCAAAAAUUCUCUAGGCUUUAGUUUUGAUUGUUCAUUCCAAGUUGUUAGGUUCUUUCUUCCUUGUUCGAUCAUUUCCGGUUUGAAUGGAUGCUGUAGUUUUUAAUUUCUAGGUUAUUUUUUGUUUUGUCUUUUGUCACUUCUGUUCUGAUUUUUUGCUUUGAUUUUUUGCUCGAUUCUGCUUGUUUGUUCAAUACGUUUAUACUCUAAAUUGUUUUAAUUAUUUUGUUUUAGUUUGAUCAUUAGUUGAAUGCUUUGUCAAUCUGUUGGUAAGCCUUUAAUCGAUCUUGUCUUGGCCUUUUUCUGAAUUUUAAUGUUUGUUUCAGUACUUGAAUUAACUAUUUAUUGUUGUUAAUUAGUUAAUGAUAGUUAGUUUAGUUCAGUUUAAUUAGUGAUUGUGUCAAUGAUUAUUUAGUUUACUGUUUGGGUUUCAAUUGGUUAUUAGGUUCAGCUUAAUUAGUUAGUGUUAAUUAGCUUAAUCGAUUUGGUUAUAGCUAAAAAUAUUUAGUCUUUUUGUGUGUUUAACCAUGGUCAUCUGACCUAGAUUAAGAAGAGUAAGGUUAGUUGAAAUAAGUUAGUAAUUAUAGUUGAAUAAAUGGGGUAAUUUGGACACUUCAAAGAGAAAGAAUCCUGUAGUUAUAGAUUAGGAACACCCUCUUCUUCUAGAAUAGGGUUUUAGUGUAAGUUUUAGAAAUUUAGUGCAGUGACUUGAGAAACAAGUAAAGACUUUAGGAUUAAUAAGUAAAUUCUGAAAAUAAAAAGGGGAAAAACGAGUGAAGGCAUUCCAUAACCUUCCUGUCCCAUUCCUGCCUAUAAAAGGCAUUACUUGAUACUGUGAAAUGCUAUUUGGACUGCCACUGGCGUUGCUCUCUUCUCUGUUACUUUGCACUUCCAGGUACAAGCCUAAACUCUUAAUAACAUGUAAUUGAGUUGAUGAAUCGAACGGAGAGGGCUUAUUUAGCUUCUCUGUGUGCUGCUCCUGCUCUUCUCUGCUUGCUUCUACGUGUCAGUUCAUAGCCUAGCUUGUUUGGUUUUAAAUAGUUAAAUGUUGUAAUUGUACUAGGACAAUAUGUAUAAUUGCGGCUGGACUGGACUGUUUGGACGGUUUAUUGGUGAUAGACUGUUAAAAUAUUCAUUAGCUUAGAUUUGCUAGCUUAUUGAUCUAAAACUAAACUUGUCUUAUGCAUAACUGUAAAAAAACUAGAUUGUGAACUGUUUGCAUGAUUUGAUAAAUUUUGAUUCGGUUAAUCAUCAUAAGUUUUGAAGUGAUAGAUCGAUUCACUUCAGUUCUUAGGAGCAAUCACAUAUGGCUAUAACAUAGAAAUGAGGUUAUAAAUUGAAUAAGCAUGGGCGUUUACAUUAGAAUAAAACCAGUGACUUCUAUCUUCAUGAAUACACAUUUAGGUUUCAGCUUUAGUAUGGAUUCUGGAUUUACAACUAAAUGGGUAUGUUGUCAGCUUUGCUUCUAUAUGUAAUUUUCCUCGUAGAAUAUGAUUAUGUUAAUGGAAAUAUCAACUUCUUCAUAUGUUUGCACACAGUUAUAGCUUCAAACAUAAUUGUAUUUUAAAAUUUGGAAUUGAUUUGGCAAUUACAACUGCAAGAGAUCUGCAAACUUCCUAUCUGUUGGGUUCAAUAUCGCAAACAGAAUUUAAUGGCUUCAAGAGCCACGCUUAACUGAUGGACCAUGCCUAGCCAAGUUUUUAGACUAAUUUUCGUUCAGGAUCAAUAUCCAGUCCCAAAUACUGAAGGUGUUCGUUGGGUAUCUUUAAUUAAAUCUGAAUGUAAAUUUGGGCCUUCGAGUUAGGUGGCGAAUGCGAGCUAAGAGCUUCACCCUUUUGUUUGAAUUCGGACUUGGAUUUGAGGCUAGAAUUUUAAUAACGUUAAUUAAUUAGGCCCUUUUAGAGACAUAUUCAAUAGAAAAUAAUAGUUUGCUUUAGAAUAUCCUUAAUAUAAAUGAGGUGCGCCCCGCCGAAUAAAAUGCAUAAAUUGUGGGGCCCUCUUUAAAUAUAUAAAAAUACUUAGUAUUCGGGAUGGGCUGUUUAGCGAAUUUCACGACCUUUCUCAAAGGCAAUAACACGCUAGUCGCUUUUAAGCGCGCUUUUAAAUAAUUUUACCUUCCUAAAUACGGGUAUGCAUUUCAUGCGACCCAAAUUCAAAUUCUAAAAUGUCGAAUAAUAAUGUGUCGAGGAUUCGGUGCAUUUCAUGUGGCGUGAUACAAAAAUACAUUUUAAACGAUGUUCACUUUCUUAAAAUAUUAAUUAAAGCGUUAAAUAAUUUUUAAAAUUGCACUAUAAGAUAACAUGUUUUAAAAUCAGAUUUAAGCGAGUGAAAACACACGGGGCAAGUUCUAGACAUUAAGUGCACGCACAAAAUAACCCAAAACUUAUACACAUACACACACAUGUCACAUAACUCAUUUAGAAUUGGUUUUUAUCAAUACACUCUAGUCAAAACAGUUAAGUAAAUUUAAGAUCAUACGAUUUAAGGUACUUAUACAAGAGUCAAAAACUGAGUCUAAGCAUCACAAUUACAUUAAUUACUAUUCUCAAGGCAUAACAAAGUUAAUAGAUAUUAUUUCAAUUCAUUCAUCUCACACUAGCUCCUACUCAUAAAAAAAAAUUACACCCGGUUAAAAUAAAACCCUUGAAGAAGAACUGUGGCACAAAGAAAAACUAAGGGGGAACUGCCACACUACCUAACAAAAGAAUUUUUCUUGUUAGACUUAAAUCUCUCAAGAAAAUUGUCUAAUAGAUCCUUCGUCGGGAAAAAAAUCAAACUUUUUUUUUGUUUUUCUAAAAAAAUAUUCAAUUAAACUAACACAACUAAAACCGCAUUGAAAGUCACCGAGACAAUCUCAUCACCCCAUAUUUAAAAUUACGCAUUGUCCCCAAUGCACAUCAUAACUAAUAAAAGGGUAAAAGAGACUCCCUGGUGGGUCAAAGGCCCAAGCACUAGCAGCUCAUGGGGUACUCAAGCUUCUCCAAGCUUGGUCUUUGGUUGCUGUUGCAUCCUUCCAAUAGCUUUGCUUCCCAUGCUCCUAUAAGGUCAACAAUUGACACUACAAAAAUAAUAAAAUUAAAAAAAAUAAAAAACAGUAAAGUUGGGUUGUCGCCCAACAAGCGCUUGAUUUAACAUCGCAACACGACAUGAAUCACUUUUUGUCUCCGACUCGAGCUUAUGAAUUGAACCCCAAGUUUUGCUUCAAGAUUAUGAUUAUGCUCUUGGGGCGGUGGAACAAAUCUAAAUUUCCCAAGGAAAUAAUAUAGUAUUCUGACCUCCUUGGCCUUUGUAUGAGGUAUGUAAUCCUGACUUUCUAGCAAGAAGAAUUCCAAAAUUUAUGCACCUUGUUCCUCAUACCUUGACUCUUCAAUUGGUCUGAAUGACUCUAUUUCUAUAUCAUCAUCCAAACACAAUGUGAAAAAAAAUGAUUGGAGUGUGGACCAAUACGCUCACAUACAUAAACUUCAGGACUUUCAGCAUCCUCAACAUCAAUGAUACUAGAGUCAACAAAAUUUAUAUCCUCAAUGUCCUUGGCUGACUCUAGUUUUACUUCUUCAACAUCGUCAUCCUCAAAUUCUAGUUGGUUAGAUUGUUGUAUUUUUACUCUGACCUCUUCCAUUUGCACCUCAAUUUCGGUAUCUAAUUCAUACUUUUCUUGGCUACUAUUCACAAUAUAUUCUUGUUGAGUGUUAACUACCUCAACUAGUGGACUCACUUAUGCCUCCAGGUUGCGAAUAACUGCAUCUUGACAUUGUAUGUGUAGUUAUUUCUUAUUAUUUUGUUCCAUAAAGAACCUUAGGAUAUCCUUGAUCUCUUCAGGUCAUCAUCCCUGGUUUUUUUUAUCCUAUUAAUUUCACAAGAAAAAGAAGAACCACCAAAGUAAGGGAUUGUAAGGGAUUGGGGGAAGAUAAGAAAUAUAAGCACAUCCAUAAAAAUGACCAUCUUGACCACCACACAUAUCACAUACAUUCCACAUAUAAGAUGGAGUUGGUGUACAUAACUUGCUCUCGGAUAUAUUUUGAUACUUUUGCCAUGGGUGGUUUUCUUCACAAUAUCCAUAAGGAGGAUUAAAAGCAGAAUUAGCAACAUCUAAACUCCCAUAUUUCCAGGACGCCAUAUUUCUCAAAUUAACAAGUAAAACAAAAAAUAAAAAAAUCAAAUACAACAAAACAAAAAUAAAAGUUCAAACUUGCAAUCAAGCAAUAUGUAAACAUACAGCUACACCAUUAGUUCCCCGAAAAUGGCGUCAAAAUUUGAUCACGCCCAAAUUUUGUCUAAAAAGGAUAAGCAGCCGCUGCAAAUAUAAUCCAGUCUAAAAGUCUAGAGUCGAAUCCCCCAGAGAAGUAACACUUAGCUAUAUCUUUUUAAUCACUAAAAAGACAAGUUUGAAUAAUUUUUUAAAUUAUAAAGAUUGAGAUUUAUAUUUCUAAUUAAUUAACUAGCAAAUAUUAGAAAAUGUUAAAAUUAUCAACUAACGAGACAAAGGUUUGGAGACUAAACUAAGGAGGUCUAGAGUUAUCAUUUUCCCAAUUGUUGGAAUCCUUCUAGCUAUGUUCCCUACAAUAUUGUUAAUGUAUUCUUUAGUGAUAAUGAGCACUUUAAGUGCCGUAAUUCUUUUUCGAGCAACUACAAUAAUUUACUAGACAUAUUCUUUUGAACUACGCUAGUUGGAUUUAUCUCACCACUCAUUAUGACAACGUCAAGGCAUUGUUAUUUCUAAACCUACCUUUAAACCCGCUGUAUUGAUUUCUCAUAUAUGUUAGGGGUGACGUUGUUCAUCAACCGGCUAAAUAUGUAUCCUUUCUCAAGAAACACAUAAUAAAUAGGCACAGUCAAUCCACUGGUAUUCAUUUAACAACAAUAAACACGUAGUUGAACAAGUAGAGAAAUCUAACGGCUCAAUUAUAUAAAAACAUAACAAGAAUUAAUCCUACCAAAAGUUCCAUCAAAACCCUAGAUAAUAAAUUAACUAGUCAUAAUAGUAUGUAAAACUAAAAUACUAAAAGUCAUAACCAACAAUGAAAAAAUAGGAAGAGAAAGAAAAAACUCGUAGAAGAAUUCCCUGCCUUGCUCCUAUUGUGUCUAUGCCUCCUUAGGCCGAAUUUGUGUCAAAAGUAUAUCCAACCAUUCAAAAUACCAUUUUUUCAUGUAUAUAUACCAAGUAGGACCAACCCCAAAAAUAUGCCUUCUCUUACAUGAAAAAGCACAAGUUUCCAUGCUUAGACGUCACCGGUCGCGGUAUUUUCACAGUGCAAUUCCUCAGUUCGCGUCCAGGUCAGCGGUCACGGUUUCAACUGCAUUUUUCACCCUGUUUUGUUUGGAAUCUGGAAAAUCGUAAAAUGUAGAAUUUUUAGCCCUUUGAAUUAGCUUUCCAAUCAUAUAUUAUAUAGCCAAAUGGAUUCGGAGUAAAGAGUUAUGUCUAUUUUGUUAGACAGUGCUCAAUAUUCCUACUCGAGUCUUUGUUUGUUCUUAACUAUCAAAUUUGAUUAACACCUUGGGUUUUUCUUUGACUUCACAACUCCAAAUUACUUGAAUUCAUUCCGUAGCAUCUAUAUAGCCAGAAUCACUCCUACAAGGCAUAAAACAGAGUUAGUGCAAAACACUAGCGAUUAAAGCUCAAACUCAAUUAAAGUGCAGUAAAUAAGAGUUUAGUAAGUGACUAAAAUAUGUAAUUAUAGCCUAUCAUCAACAACUACCACCUAAAAACCUAACCAUAAGUAACUUCUUACUACUAAACCAUACAUUUAACAACCUAACUAUACACUCUAUAGUUAAGUCUAAAAACUAAUUAUGGUUAGUCAUCAGCUUGUGUCUAGUUAAGCAAACACUCCCCCUCAAGCUGAUGCUCUAAAUAAGUUCUCAAAUCCAAGCUAGUUCAACAAAUGAUCAUGUUGUGCCUUUCUUAACUCUUGGUAAGGAAGUUUGCAAGCUGAUCUACUGUAUGGAUAUGCUCAGUUUAUAGCAGUCCUUGGCUGAUUUUUUCUAUGCCAAAGUAACAGUCUAUGUUGAUGUGCUUAUCAUGGAAUAUAGGAUUGGCUGCUAGUUAUAUUGCGACUUUACUAUCUGAUACCAUCUUUACUGGCAUUUGAACUUCACUCCAAGUUUAUUAUACAAGCCUACCAACCAUAUGAUUUCUGCUGCACAAGCAGCCAUGCUUCAAACACAUAUUUUAUAGAACUUCUUGAGAUAUUGUUCUGCUUCUUGGACUUCCAAGAUACCAAAGAAUUACCAAACUUAACUAGGUACCGAGUGACUGAUCUUCUUGUUUCUACAUAUGCUCCCUGGUCAGAGUCAUAGCAUGCAGUGAGUUGAUCAGUAUCUCCAGUACGAAUGAUUAACCCUAGACCAAGAGCUUCUUUGAUAUACCUCACUGCCUAUAAAGUUACUUCCAUAUGAGAUACUUUAGGAGAGUGCAUGUAUUAACUAAUACAUGUACUUCAAAAUCAAUAUCAUGUCUGGCCAUAGUUAGAUACAAGUCUCCCCACGAAUCUUUGAUAGUUGUUGGGAUCUUCAAGUUGCUUAUCGCCAACUGAUUCCGUAUGUUUGAUACAUUGAUCAUACAUUACUGAUGUAAUUUUUUGGUUCAAUUCUACUGGAGUAACGACUAGCUUAGCUCCUCCUAGGCAUGCCUCAGUAAUUAGCUCAAGAGCUUUGUUUGGUCCAAACACACACGAACAAGUAUACGCGGUCAAUAAUUAAUAAAGUGAUAAAAAAUAUUGUUCGCAUGAUGAUUUAUGAUCAAAUAUUGUCCAUUCUAAGCUAUUUAUAAAAGUAAUGCUCAUCUGAGUGUGAAAAAUAUAAUUCUGAUUUUUGUAACUAAAUUACUACAAAUUGAUAAGCAAGAAAGAAAAUAAGAUUGCAAGUGGAGAAAACAAAUACGUAGAGAGAAUUCAAUGAGAUGGGGAUAUUUUAGGGUUAUGUGAUUAACGUCUCUCUUAUUGCAUUUUUCCAGUUGAUGUAAUCACUUGACUUAUUUAGUUUGUUGAUUAGCAGGGUUUAUUAUUGUAACGACCUGGCCGAUCAUUUUUAAAAUUUAUACCCCGAUCCCCUAUUGAAUGUUUUCCCUAAGUUAGUUUCUGCUAGUUUGAUUUGUCGGAACGUUCGGUGCUAGGCUUCGGAGAGUUUUGAGAAACUUCAUCCCUAAAUAAAAGCUAGAGUGUUGGAAAGUAGUCUCUAGUCAUAAUAAUGUGAAGACAACCUUGGAAUGGAAAUUUAAUGGUUCUGUUAGUUCCGUUAGGUGAUUUUGGGGUUGGGAGUGUGUUCGAAAUGUAUUUUGGAAGAGCGUAGUUAAUUUAGGCUUGAAAUGCCGAAGUUUAAUUUUUUGAAAUUUCCGGUCCGAUAGUGAGAUUUUCAUCCGAUGGUCAGAGUGGAAUUACUGAAGUUGCAAUAACUUCGUCAUGUCUAUGUGUGAGAAAUUUCAUUUCAUUCGGACUAGGUUUGGUUAGGUUUUUGAUCGAAAGCGUAUUUUGAUAAAAUUUGAAGUUCUUGGGCCUAAAUCCUUGAUCAAUUCGAGUUUCCAAUGUUGUUUUAGUUGGUUUAAGGAUUGGAACAAGUUUGAGUGAUGUUAUGGGAGAUGUCCGUAGGUUUGGUUGAGGUUCUCGAGGCCUCAGGUCUGUUUCGGAUGCUUAGGCAUUUUCAUGUAUAAAGGUGAUGCAGCAGCUGAAGGCUUCUGGUAUUUUCACUUCUGCGGCUUGGGAACCGCAGAAGAAGCUUGGAAUCCACAUAAGCAGAGUCGCAAAAGUGGCUUGGUUAGUUGCAGAAGCGGACUCUGGUGUUCCCCAAUUUUCCGCAGAAGUAGAUGACAUUUUUCAGAAGCGAUCUCGCAUAUGUGAGAUUUCCAUCACCAAAGCGGCCCAUGUAGCGGUCAACAGAAACCGCAAAAGCGGUCUUGGAACAGCAAAAGAGGUACCACGGAAGCAGUUCAAUGAUCGCAGAAGAGAAAAUGUGCUUGGGCAGAAUGUUAAGUUCUUAAAAUGGGACUUCAUUCCCAUUUUCCAUUUUUGGCGAUUUAGAGCUCAUGUAAGGCGAUUUUUUGAGAUAUUUUCGGAGAGGACAACAGAGUAAGUGUUCUUAACUUAAUUUUGGUUGGAUCACUUGAAUAUAUUACUAGUUUUGGCAUUUAAUCCGUCAAUUUUAUUGAAAAAGUUUAGUAAACCAUCUUGGAUAGAAUCAUGAAUUGGAAGGUCAAAACAUGAUAGGAAAUGUAUAACUUUGGUACAGUUAGACUCGUGAGAGUGUGAGGGUUCUGAAAUGUAAAAUUUAUCCGAUUCCGAGACAUGGGCCCGAGGGGCAUUUUGGUUAUUUUACAUAAUUUUGUGUAUUUCCUUAUAAUUUCAUUGUAAAAUCAGUUACUUGAAGUGUUAUUUACAUUGUGAAAUGUAAUUGAAUAGAUUUAGGCCAUUUGGAGUCGAAUACUCAUGGUAAGAAGGUGAUUUCUAGUUGAAUUUGAGUCGGUUCGAGGUGAGUGGCUUGUCUAACCAUGUGCGAGGGACUUUGUCCCUUAAGAUGUGAUAUUUAGUAAUUGAAUGCCUUGUACGAGAGGUGACAAGUCCGUACUUGAGCUAAUUGUUGAAAACUCGAAUUUUGAUUCAAAAUAUUUGAACUACGUUUCUCCCGUAUUUGCUUUGUUCUACUUGCCAUUAUAGUUUGUGCUAGUCUAGAAAAGCAUGUUAGUUCAUCCAACUUGCCUAUUUACUUAUAUCGCCUUAAUUUCACUACGUGUAAGCAUGUUAGGCUAGAACUAUAUGUUGCUUUGUAUUGCUGUACUUCAUUUCUGAAUAUUCUCUGAUUGUGGUUGCGCAAUUAUAUUGGGACUACGGAUGUGGGAUACCAGUAGUUCCCCCUUUUUUGUUUACCUUGGGAGUGCAGGUUCGAUUCCCGAAAGAUCCCCCUGCACUUUUACUUUGAGACUACGGGUUAGAUUUUCGGUACUCCCCUACACAUUGAUAGUUGGACUAUAGGACGGUAUCCCGGGAGAUCCCUCGGAAUAUACUCACAUGUGGACUACGGGACGGUAUCCCGGGAGCUCCUCAGCCAGAUUGAUAAAAUGGACUACAGGAUGGUAUCCUGGGAGAUCCUCAUUAUUGGUACUGAUAUUAAGCUGUUGUACUCUCUGUUACCUUGUUCCCUGUGUGUUAAUUGUUAUUUGUAUAAUCUGACUUACUCCAUAGAUGUAUUUAUUUCUGCUUAUUUCAUAUUGUUGUCAGAUUUAUUAUUAUAUUUUAUCUCAGUAGGGCCCUGACCUUCCUCGUCACUACCCAAACGAGGUUAGGCUAUGGCAGUUCUGCACAUGUUUUUCAUGUGCAGAUCUAGGUAUCUCCACCCAGGCAUACUAUUCCCAAGGCGGAGAGAUCUAGAAGAGACUUCAGAUUAUAUCUGCUGCGUCCGCAGACAAGGAGUCUCUAUUUUAUUCCAGCUUUAGUAUAUGACUUUCCUUUCUUUUGGCUGUUUAGUCAUUCUAGAGUUAGAUAAAUGAAUUACAUUUCUAUUAGCCUGUGUUUUCUAUGAGUUUCUGGGUUUUGGGAGUUGUGUUGGACUUCUUUUAUUUGGGUUGUAUUAUGCCAAGAGGCACUUAUAUAUCGUUUUCUCUUAGCAGUAUAAUGUUAAGUUAUUUAAUUUUGGAAGUUAGUUUGUUUUCCGCAUUCUUAGGCUUACCUAGUCAUAGUGACGAGGUGCCGUCACGACAUGUGACAAGUUGGUAUCAGAGCUCUAGGUUCAUAUGAGUCACGGAAUACAGGCCGGUUUAUUAGAGUUUCAUAGAUCGGUACAGAGAUGUCUUUACUUAUCUACGAAAGGCUUUAACUGGAUAGAAAAAAUCUUCACUUCAUUUGAUUUCCUUGUAGUGUGAUUUUUUUGACACCAAUUAUAAUGUCUGCCUUCUAUUCUCUCACAGAUGGCGAGGACACGUGCUACUCGAGAUGGUUCGAAACCUGCACCCCUAUUACAAUCGUCAGAGGUUGGGGACGGGGUAGAGGCCAUGGACGCGUAUGUGGUGCAACCAGAGCACCUAUGCGAGCUGCCGCUGAGGUACUGCCAGCAGAUCCAGCCGGAGUUCAAACACCGGCCACACCUCCAGUUACUACUACUCCAGCCCUUCAAGA
rnacentral:lncRNA from 1 species